rnacentral:rRNA from 1 species
AGAGUUUGAUCCUGGCUCAGAUUGAACGCUGGCGGCAGGCUUAACACAUGCAAGUCGAGCGGAGCGAGGGUGCUUGCACCUUAGCUCAGCGGCGGACGGGUGAGUAAUGCUUAGGAAUCUGCCUAUUAGUGGGGGACAACAUUCCGAAAGGGAUGCUAAUACCGCAUACGCCCUACGGGGGAAAGCAGGGGAUCUUCGGACCUUGCGCUAAUAGAUGAGCCUAAGUCGGAUUAGCUAGUUGGUGGGGUAAAGGCCUACCAAGGCGACGAUCUGUAGCGGGUCUGAGAGGAUGAUCCGCCACACUGGGACUGAGACACGGCCCAGACUCCUACGGGAGGCAGCAGUGGGGAAUAUUGGACAAUGGGGGGAACCCUGAUCCAGCCAUGCCGCGUGUGUGAAGAAGGCCUUUUGGUUGUAAAGCACUUUAAGCGAGGAGGAGGCGCUCUAGGAUAAUACCCUAGAUGCGUGGACGUUACUCGCAGAAUAAGCACCGGCUAACUCUGUGCCAGCAGCCGCGGUAAUACAGAGGGUGCGAGCGUUAAUCGGAUUUACUGGGCGUAAAGCGCGCGUAGGUGGCUAAUUAAGUCAAAUGUGAAAUCCCCGAGCUUAACUUGGGAAUUGCAUUCGAUACUGGUUAGCUAGAGUAUGGGAGAGGAUGGUAGAAUUCCAGGUGUAGCGGUGAAAUGCGUAGAGAUCUGGAGGAAUACCGAUGGCGAAGGCAGCCAUCUGGCCUAAUACUGACACUGAGGUGCGAAAGCAUGGGGAGCAAAAAGGAUUAGAUACCCUGGUAGUCCAUGCCGUAAACGAUGUCUACUAGCCGUUGGGGCCUUUGAGGCUUUAGUGGGCAGCUAACGCGAUAAGUAGACCGCCUGGGGAGUACGGUCGCAAGACUAAAACUCAAAUGAAUUGACGGGGGCCCGCACAAGCGGUGGAGCAUGUGGUUUAAUUCGAUGCAACGCGAAGAACCUUACCUGGCCUUGACAUACAGAGAACUUUCCAGAGAUGGAUUGGUGCCUUCGGGAACUCUGAUACAGGUGCUGCAUGGCUGUCGUCAGCUCGUGUCGUGAGAUGUUGGGUUAAGUCCCGCAACGAGCGCAACCCUUUUCCUUACUUGCCGGCAUUUCGGAUGGGAACUUUAAGGAUACUGCCAGCGACAAACUGGAGGAAGGCGGGGACGACGUCAAGUCAUCAUGGCCCUUACGGCCAGGGCUACACACGUGCUACAAUGGUCGGUACAAAGGGUUGCUACACAGCGAUGUGAUGCUAAUCUCAAAAAGCCGAUCGUAGUCCGGAUUGGAGUCUGCAACUCGACUCCACGAAGUCGGAAUCGCUAGUAAUCGCGGAUCAGAAUGCCGCGGUGAAUACAAAACCGGGCCUUGUACUCACCGCCCGUC